rnacentral:rRNA from 1 species
UACGGAGGGUGCAAGCGUUAUCCGGAUUUACUGGGUUUAAAGGGUGCGUAGGCGGGCUUUUAAGUCAGCGGUGAAAGCUUCGAGCUUAACUCGGAAAUUGCCGUUGAUACUAUUAGUCUUGAAUUAAGUUGAGGUGGGCGGAAUAUGUCAUGUAGCGGUGAAAUGCUUAGAUAUGACAUAGAACACCGAUUGCGAAGGCAGCUCGCUAAACUUAUAUUGACGCUGAGGCACGAAAAGCGUGGGGAGUCAAAACAUGG